GCCCUCCACCGCGCACGUGGCUCGGUCAGCGGCUAGUGCGGAGAGACGCAGCGGAGAUGGCGCGCCUGCUAAAGGCUGCCGCCGCCAACACCUUAGGUGAAUACCGAGCUCCAGGAAGGUCGCUGUGGGUAGGGCAUGUGGGAAAGGAGGCCAGGGGGAGAAGGAGGCCUCAACGUGGCCAAAGCACCUUGAUGAUGCGCUCUGUCCCCGGAGGCGCGUUCCACGGCCGCUGCCGGCAGCUAGGCAGAGGGAUACCUUCCAGAAACACCUCAGCUUAGCGCGGGGAUGGCCUUCUUGUGCGUGAGUCCCUCUGCACACGGGAGCUGUGCGCCCUGGGCGCUGCACCUUCCAGUAUGUGGGCCGGAGAGGCGGGGGAUCUUGCCCAGCGGGUCCGACAGGGCAUGGACGGAAGUAAAUGGAAGCCGGUAGGCUGGCUGCUCUAAGUUGAUCUGGUGCCUUGGUCACUCGUGGCUUCUUUCUUCUAUGCCAGCUCUGUCUUCUCUACACUUCCUCUGGAGGAGGAGGCCUUGACACAAUUACAAGAAGUCAGGGACCCUGAACAGAGGGACCAGCUGAAGCCACAGCAGAAGAACAUAAGUUGUGAAGAUUUCAUGGACAUUUAUUAGUUCCCCAAAUUAAUACUUUUAUAAUUUCUUACGCCUGUCUUUACUGCAAUCUCUGAACAUAAAUUAUGAAGAUUUCAUGGACAUUUAUCACUUCCCCAAUCAAUACUCUUAUAAUUUCCUAUGCCUGUCUUUAAUCUCUUAAUCCCAUCAUCUUCGUAAGCUGAGGAUGUUAUGUCGCCUCAGGACCCUGUGAUGAUUGCAUUAUCUGCACAAGUUGUUUGUAAAGCAUAUGUGUUUGAACAAUAUGAAAUCUGGGCACCUUGAAAGGAACAGGAUAACAGUGAUUUUCAGAGAACAAGGGAGAUAACCAUAAGGUCUGACUGCCUGCAGGACCAGGCAGAACAGAGUCACAUUUCUCUUCUUACAGAAAGUGAAUGGGAGAAAUAUUGCGAAUUCUUUUCUCAGCAAGGAAUAGCCCUGGGAAAGGAAAGCAUUCCCAGGGGGAGGUCUCUAAAAUGGCUGCUCUGGGAGUGUCUGUCUUAUGUGGUUGAAGAUAAGGGAUGAAAUACACCCUGGUCUCCUGCAGCACCCUCAGGCUUGCUAGGAUUAGGAAAUUCCAGCCUGGCGAAUUCUAGUCAGACCAGUUGUCUGCUCUCGAACCCUGUUUCCUGUUAAGAUGUUUAUCAAGACAAUGCGUGCCCAGUGGGACAUGGAACCUCAUCAGUAAUUCUAAUUUCACCCUGGCCUUGUGAUCUCGCUUUGCCCUUCUGCACUUGUAAUCUUUUAUUGCCUCUUGAAGCAUGUGAUCUGUGUGAUUUACUCCCUGUUCAUACCCCCUUCCCCUUUUCAAAUCCCUAACAAAAACUUGCUGGUUUUGCGGCUCAAGGGGCAUCACGGAACCUGCUGACGUGUGAUGUCACCCCUGGAGGCCCAGCUGUAGAAUUUCUCUCUUUGUACUCUUUCUCUUUAUUUCUCAGACUGGCCAACACUUAGGGAAAAUAGCAAAGAACCUACAUUGAAAUAUUGGGGGCUGGUUCCCCCAAUACUUUGGUUUUAUUUUUCUUUUUGUUUUAUUUUCUGUAUGUGAAAGCUUCAGGUAUUGAUUCGAAAUGUUUUCUAAUAUAAGCAUUUAGUGCCAUAAAUUUCCCUCACAGCUUUUGGGUAUUGGUAUACCACACAUUUUUAUAUGCUGUAUUUUCAUUUGGUUCUGGGUAGAUAUUUUUGUUAUUCUUUGUUUGUUUGUUUCUAUUUCCCAUGAGAUGAGACUUCUUCUUCGACCCAUGGAUUAUUUAGAAGGGAGUUGUUUAGUUUCUAAGUGUCUGGAAAUUUUCCUGUUACCUUUUUCCUAUUGAUUUCUAAUUUGAUUCUAUUUUGGUUAGAAAGCACAUUCUGUAUGAUUUCAGUUUUUUUAAUGUCACAGGACAUAAUCCCAAAAGUCCCUGUGGACCUUUCUCUUCUGUUUUUGUCUCCCUUCUCUCUGUUGGUCAGGGUAGUUUCUCUUUUCAGGUUCACUGGUUCUCUCCUCUCUCCUUUCCACUCUGUUGUAGACCCUGUCUGCUGAGCUAUUUAUUUCAAUUCUUUCAUUUUGUUUUGAAAUUUUAUUUCAGAUGGAAUCUGACUCUGUCACCCAGGCUGGAGUGCAGUGGCAUGAUCUCUGCUUACUGCAACCUCCACCUCCCAGGCUCAAGUGAUUCUCCUGCCUCAGCCUCCUGAGUAGCUGGGAUUGUAGGUGCCUACCACCACACCUGGCUAAUUUUUAUAUUUUUAGUAGAGACAAGGCUUCAUUAUGUUGGCUAGGCUGGUCUCAAACUCCUGACCUCAGGUAAUCUGCCCACCUUGGCCUCUCAAAUUGCUGGGAUUACAGGCGCAAUUAUUCCAUGUUUUUAUUCUUUUCUUUCUUUCUUUUUUUUUUUUUUUAGACAGAGUCUCGCACUGUCACCCAGGCUGGAAUGCAGUGGCACGGUCUCGGCUCACUGCAAGCUCUGCCUCCCGGGUUCGCACCAUUCUCCUGCCUCAGCCUCCUGAGCAGCCGGGACUACAGGCACUGGCCACCACGCCUGGCUAAUUUUUUUGUACUUUUAGUAGAGACGGGGUUUCACUGUAUUAGCCAGAAUGGUCUCGAUCUCCUGAACUUGUGAUCCCCCCGCCUCGGCCUCUGAAAGUGCUGGGAUUACAGGCAUGAGCCACUGUGCCUGGCCUCAUGUUUUUAUUCUUAAAAUUUUUAUUUGAUUUUUCUGUGUGUCUUCUAUUUUACUUCUAUUUUUCUACCUUUUGUUUUGAUUCAAGCAUUUAUGUAAUUGCUCACUGGGGCCUUUUCAUGGGAUGUGCUUUAAAAAUCUCUUUUUAGAGAGCCCUGGGUGGUGGGGUGAGCAUGGAAGUCUGCCUCCCUGCCCCCUCCUUAACUGAAGGUGGUGGAGAUGGAGCCACAUUUUUUUCCUGUGGUGUUUUCCUAGAGUUGAGUGGUUAACUGUCUAAAAGUUUUCUGGCUUGUUAGGCUGAUCCUUUAGUGGGGCUUUUUUUUUUUUUCCUCUAUUUCCAUUACCAUUUCCAGGUUGAUUCUUCUUCAGCUCCAACUAUAGAAUACAUGAGAUGACAAAACCACCCAAGUCCCAGGGGCCUUAGCCAGCCUGCCUUUCUCUACCUUUCAUAUUCAUCUUAUGUUUGUUUUAAAUAUAACUUCCAGCAUUGUUAUCUACACUUAAUAGGAGAAGCAGAGAAAGGUGUUUACUCCAUUUUGUCUAGAAGUGGAAGUCCAUUGUUUUUAUUUUUUAAAGUAUUUUAUUUUACUUAACAAUCAGCAGUACAUAGUAGUUUGACAAAGCAGAAAGUGUAUGCAUUUCCCUUUCAGUGUUAACUUUGAACACCUGGCUGUCUCUCUUCAUGAAUAUUUAUGGAGAUCAGUGUUGGGCAUUGUAGUAAGGCGAAAAGAGAGAUGAAAAGAUGAAUGGAUGAAGAGACAGAAAGAAAACUGGCAUUGUUUAGUAAUAAAUAGGUUUAAUAACAAAAAAAUUAAUGUUACUCAAAUUUAAAAAGAAAAAAUAACUAGAGAACUAAAGAAAUUGCUGUUCUUCAAGAGAACUAUAUUGAACAAGAGGAAAUUCUUGUUUUGUAAUAUUCCUCUAUGAGUGAAAGAAAAAAGGUAAGACAGUUAUGAGAGACUCACUAUGUUUGUGUCCACAUGAUUAGACAUUCAACCUUGCUUACAUUUCUUCUCCCUCUCUUUUGUCCUCUAUGGACUGUUUUUUAAAUUGUUGUAAAAUUAUUUUUACUUUGUCAAGAUUUACUUAUUUAAAUUUUUGUUCCGGACCCAUAUUUAUUCCUGUAACUGUUUUUCUCAAUUUAACAUUUAAAUUCUCAUUAUACCAUGUGUUCUACAUUGAUCAAUUAAAUGGUUCCAACCACCCUCUUACAAGGACAAAAAAGAAAAAAAUAUGUCUGGUCUUAACAACAAUGCAGUAAGCCAAGAAAGAAAAAUAAAACUUAUAAAGAUUGGGGGAAAAAAACAGCCCUCAUUACCAUUCAUUCUGUAGUAAUUUUAUUCCCUAGUUCUUCAUUGUGAUCCUCCCUUUUUUCUUGGGUAGGGGGGUGGAUUUAAGUAUCAAGUAGUUAAAAUGUUCUCCUCUCAACCUGUAUCUUGAAUAAUGAGAAGAAAAAUGUUCUUCUCUUUGUCUUUGCAUGUUUGAGAAUCCCUACUAAAUUUGUUAGCUCCAUAAUACAUUUUUGUUCUCAGAGUAAUUCAUAGCUUUUCAUCUCUCUUUUUAAAAAAAUCAUGUUGGGUGGUGUGUAUUUCAUUAAAUUCAUGUCCUUAUUGAAUUACUCUAUAGCACAAGCAUUUUUAGAAGAUUUCUUGUAUUCCUUGGAUCUUAGUUUUCCCAGAAUGUGUUCUUCCUUGGAUGUUUUUCAUACCAUGUUCUUUCUCUCCUGUAUUGGUGUUAUUUCUGUGCAUAAUGAUAAUGACAGGAUCCUUUUUAAAAAAUAUUAUUGAUCCUAACGUGGCUGGUUUUAGCCAGACCUCUAAUUGGCUGUGUAGUACAGAUGGGUUCUUGUAGACACUCCUCCAAAAAUAUUUGUGACAUUUGUCUUCUAAGCUGCAUCUAAUGCAUUUGAUGUUGCAUUCUCUGUUCCUUUUUAAUAGCAGAGGCCUUGGGGUAGGGGAUGGGAGAACCUGUCUAAGAAAACCUUUAGCUCUUUGUUGUAGGCCUGAAGACUGUUCUUUCCCCUCUCAACUUUGAAUAAAUACUCCUGGGGUCUCAUUCUCCCAACUCUACAUAUUGCCUCAAAAAUUGGCAAGCCCCUGGCAGCCCCUCCCAGUGUCUGCAGCAGAGUAGUGUAUAAGGGCUUCUGCUCUUGAUGGUGUAUUUCCUUGAUUUUUCCUCUCAAGCUGCCUACUCCACCUGCAUCUCCCCAUCUUUUAACAGUGCCUAUUAAAUGAUGGCCCAUCAAUAUUGUUACUGUAAUUCCUAAACUGAUUUUCAAAGGAUUCUUUUUUUUUCUAUCAGAGAUAAAUAAAUCAUUUAGGAAGAGAUCCAUUUGAACAUUCUUGUUUAUAAGCCAAAGGGUUUCCAAAGAGGAAUAGUUUGAAGAUUGACAAAAAUGGGGAUAAUUUGUGAGAGUGAAUGCCUGGAGAGUAUCAGGGAACACCUAGAACAUACAAUAAGAGGAUACGUGGAAGGGCAACUUUUCCUUUGAGACAGGGAGGGAAAGACAUAUGGAUGAAAUGAGUGAAAUUAUACAGAGUUGGAAUUUCCUCUCGAUGCCUUCUUCUUCAGGUAACCACAGAGUCUGAGCACUAUCAAAAAUACUUCGUGGGCCAGGCAUGGACUCCUAGUUGAUUGCCUGAGCUCAGGAGUUCAAGACCAGCCUGGGUAACAUGGUGAAACCCCAUCUCUACUAAAAAUACAAAAAAAAUUAGCCAGGCAUGGUGGCAUGUGCCUGUAAUCCCAUCUACUUGGGAGGCUGAGGCACAAGAACCACUUGAACCUGGGUGGCGGAGGCUGCAGUGAACUGAGAUCGUGCCACUGCACUCUAGCCUGCAUGACAGAGCAAGACUCUGUCUCCAAAAAAAAAAAAGGGCAUGGUGGCCAGUGCCUGUAAUCCCAGCACUUUGGGAGGCCGAGGCAGGUGGAUCACCUGAGGUUAGGAGUUCAAGACCAUACUGGCCAACAUGGUGAAAAGUUGUCUCUACUAAAAAUACAAAAAAGUUAGCUGGGUGUGGUGGUGGGCACCUGUAAUCCCAGCUACUCAGGAGGCUGAGGCAGGAGAAUCACUUGAACCCGGGAGGUGGAGGUUGCAGUGAGCCGAGAUUGCGCCACUGCACACCAGCCUAGGCAACGAGAGUGAAACUCCAUCUCAAAAACAAAACAAAACAAAACAAAAAAAAAAACAAAAAACAAAACUUUCUGUACAUCUCUUCCACCUUUCCUGUGACUAUCAGCUUUACACAUUAUGUCAGGAACAUUUUCUGGAUAGCUAAAAGGGGGUGAGUAUGCUUAUAUUUUAGGAGCCAGUGACAUUCAAGAAUGUUGUUGUAGACUUUACUGAGGGGGAGUGGAGAUAACUGAGCCCUCCACAGAGGAAUCUGUACAGAGAAGUGACACUGGAGAACUGUAGGAAUCUAAUCUAUGUGGGUAAGAGCCGUUUUCUUUUGUUACUGAAAAUCUUCCUAUUUGAGGGUCUUUGCUUCCUCGGUUAUUAACAGCCAUGAGUCUUCAUAGCAUUUUACUCUGCUGGGCUUAUAUAGUCCUCAAAACCAAAGGUUUUAAAAUCUAGUUGGCCCCCAAGACACAAGAUGUUCCUAAUACAUUUUCCCCAGGUAAAUUGCCUUUAUUUUUAAAGAGUUGAUAUUAGGAGCUUUCUAUACUACUCCUCCCUUAAACCUCACAGUAGCCAUCAUUCAGUGAGCCAAACUUUAAGGGGUUAGGGCUGAAUUUUCAGAUAUUUGUUAUAUCUUUCUUUCCCCAUGGGUGGGCUGUCAUCCCUUCAAAGCCAGUGUUAUCUCCCAGCUGGAGCUAGAAGAGGAGUUGUGGAUGAUGGGCUGGGCAUCCCUAACAGCCACUUGUCCAGCUGAGAAAUAGAAGCAUGAAGUUCUUGGAAUUGGUCAAUGAAGAAGACAUUUCUUACAGUGUUGUCUGAGGAAUUCAUCUCAUAGUCAUAUCUGUUUCCACUUAUUCUUUAUCUUUCUAUCCUAUUAGUUUCUCCUUCAUAUUUCUGAGAGGAAGAUGUGUUCUUCCUUAACUAAGUUCACAUUUCCUUUUGUUUUCAAACUUCCUUCCCUUCUUUUCUCACUCAUCUCUUCCCACUCGUCUCUUUACUGUGGCUUGCAGGCAUGAUGACUCCUUCUCACUCCAGCAUUCUCAGCUUUGUCUUUCACAGCCUCCUUUCUUUAGUCAUUUAGCUUUUCAUGACUCUUUAACCCAAUAAAUAGAAAUUCACGUACUGUACAUUGUCAGAUCUCACUGCUUCAGAGCAAGAUUUGGUUAAAACUUCCUAGAAAGGAGAUUAGCCACAUGUAUCAAGAGUUUUAAUAAUACCCUUUUAGUCAUUCUUCUGACAGGACCCCUGUCUAGUAGAUAUCAUAGAGGUCAACAAUGAGUCAUGAACAGUUCUGUUCCCUUGGCAUUGUAAGUAACUGAUUUCAAUAUCAUGGCAUUGUUUAUGCAAAUUAUGAAAUAUCUAAACAUUGAAAAAUUAUAAUGUUAUUAGAAACAUAUUCACAGAAAUUUUCAAUGAUGCGGAUAGUGCAUUAUGUAAAGAAAGUAAACUAUGAAAUUUUAACUACACUUAAAUUUAGCAAUAGAAAUACUUAAAUCAAAUAACACUUAUUACAUGUUGACUCUCCUCCCACCUUUAAAUGCAGUUAUUAUGAUAUGCUAUUAAAUGUAAUUUUUCUCCUUAUUUUAUACCCAGGCAUUUCCUAAGACUUGCUAUUUCUGUCCCUCCUUCCUACUUCAGUGUACUGACAUCCCUGUGUAUUUUGGUUCUUUUGCCCCCAUUUGUUCAGCAAACAUUUAUUGGGCACCAUUCAGGAAAGGAUCUAAAGGGAGCACUCCAGGAUGUUGAGGGUAGAGAUUGCUGCUGUUGAAGUUGCAAGUCAUUUUUCUUUCUUUCUUUAUUCUCUUUCAUUUCUUCUAAACUUUCCACAAUGGGCAUAUUUUCAUUUAAAAAUCUGACAGAAAGAAACACUCUGUAUGAUAUAUACUGUUACCAUGUGCAUUUUUCCAUAAUUCCUUCCUGAUUAAAUUUCUUUUUGCUUCUCAACCAUUAUUUUGGUUUCUAAAUACUGUCCUACUGAAAUUACUUAUUCAGAGGCAACCAUUAGAUUUCUUCUAAAAAAUAGGCUAGCCUUUUUCCAGUUUUCUUCAUCUUCAGUUUUUCUGACGUACUUUGCCAUUUUGAGUAUUGACUUUGGGUGUAAUAAAUAUGUAUUGUGGAAAUUUUAGAAAAUACAAAUAAGCAAAAAAUAAAAUUUGAAAUCAGUGAUCUCAUGUCUUGGAGAGAGAUAGCUCAUGGACAUAUGCUAUGUUGUAUUUAUUAUCUACUAUCUAGAAUAAUCAUUACUCAUCAUAUAAAAUAACUGAUAGGCAUUUAAUUUUAUGGAUUUACCAUUACUGAUUAAAUUAGGUACCUGGGAUUGAACAUUUAGGUUAUUGCCAAUUUCUUUCCUUUAUAAAUGAUACAGAUUUAAACAUCCUUGUAACUGUCUUGCACAUUUGUUCCGUCAGAGCUUAGUAUAAAAUUCUUAGAAAAUGAACUUUUUGCAGCAAAGAUUAUGAAUAACAAUCACUUAAAGCUUUUGUUAACAUGUUGUUGUUUUUUUUUCAGAAGGGCAAUACUAGUUUGUUUACCUAUCCCUCAGUCAUACCUGCAUGUGACCUGGAACACGUGGCAGUUCAUGGUUUUUCAUUACAUUUUUAUUACUGCUGAAUUUUACAUUUUUCAAUGUAGUUACUGACCCUUUACUUUUUAUAUUUUAUAAGCUGUCUGAUCUUCUCAUUAGCCCAUUUUUUUCAUUAAUGUGAAAAUAUGUUUUCAGGAUACAGAUCUGCACUGUACAGUACUAAUGCAUUUGGCUCGUAAGGCAACUGAAACAUGGCCAGUUCUCACUGGGACAUGCUAUGAGUAUAAAAUAUACCCCAGAUUUUGUAGACUUAGUAAGAAAAGAAAGACUGUAAAAUAUCUCAAUACCUGUUAUGCUGAAUCCCUGUUUAAAUGAUAAUAUUUUGGAUAUAUUGGGUUGAAUAAAAUAUAUUCUUUAAUUUUACCUGUAUUCUCUUACCUUUUUAAAUGUGGCUACUGGAAAACUUAAAAAUAAAUGUGCGCAUCACAGCACUUGUGGCUCUCAUUAUAUUUCUGUUGAAAAGCACUGAUACAAAUAGUCAAUUCCUGUAUAUUUUGACUACUUUUGUCUUUUAGCUUUUUUUGAGUUCAUUAUUAUUACAAAAAUAAAACAUGCUUGAUUAAAACAUUCAAACCAUAUAGAAAUUCAAAAAAAUACAAAACUGCUAUAAAAAAUCUUUCAUCCCUCUGCAGUUCCAAUGAUAGCCAGUAUUAAGCCAUUGAGUACAGAAUCUGGGAUAUGUUUUGCUUAUCAUAAGGUUUAUGUGUGAAGUCACAUUAUCCCUAAUUUUCUACCCUCCAGAGGACUAAAAACCCAGCCCUAUCUUCUGAAUUAUUCCUUCCCUCCACCUAAGUUGUAUAGGCCACUUAGCGCCAUGACGAUUUCUAAACUUUGAAAAGUAAUGGCCUUGUUUUUUUCAGAAGAAAGCGAUUUUAUUAUGAUAGACCAUUUUUUUCUAAUACAAUAAUGAAACACUACUUAUUUGUGUUAAUGAUACCAAGUUGAGUCUUCUACUCAUCUGGGGCUUUGCUGAUGCUAAGCACUGUUAUGUGCUGUUAAAAAUGAAGCUUCUGUCUUUCCAAGAAUUUGUCCUAGGCUCUAGCUAACUGCUAACUCAGUUGAAGUGGUAUUGUAUUUGGUGGUGACUAUAUCUUGUGCAUUGGUUUGUAUAUUUAGUUUAUUUAUUCAACAGGGAUCUGUUGUUCAAUGUGGUUGAUUUAAAUUCCAAGCUUUAAUUUUGUAAUUUAAACAACAUACAUACGCACGUGUGCUUGUAAAGACAGAAGUCUGCUAUUGGUCAGAAUCAUAUAGACUGUGUCACAGAUAAGGAAGCACCUGCUACUGGUUGCUUCAUUACUAUGGAGAAGACCUUGCCAAGUAAGUGAAACAAGUAACGGAUGGGUUUAGGACGCAGAUUUGCCAGUAUUGCACAGGAGAAAUCCCAGGUUCCAUGUGGACGAUGGGAAUUUGGAUUGAGCUGAUAAGGGUCAGUCUAGGAAAAGUUCCCCUAACAUUCUUCAGAUUUUUCUUAUUGCAUCCUUCACAACUUGUCUCAAUUAUUGGUCGAAUCUAUUUUUUUCUUCCUGAUUUGAGAUCCCAUCUUUAUCAAGUGCUGUAUUUCCAUUAAUUCAUUCAAUAAAUGUGUAGUGAGUCUUGCAUCUGGAGAUAUAACAGUGAAGAAGACCUAAAAAGUGCUUUCUUUCAAAGAGCUUACAUUUGAUCUGGGGUAAAGGGGUGCAAAAAUAUGGAGGAGACAAACAAUAAAUAGAACUUUAGGUAAUGAUGACUGCCUUGGUGAAAACAAAAUGGGAUAUUGUGAGAAAGUGACUACAGUGAGUGACUACUUAAGACUGGGUGGUAAGGGAGGGCUUUUUCAGAUGGUAUCAUUUAAGGUGAAACAUGAAUGACAGAAGGGACCCGGCCUUUCAAAAACCUGGUAUAAGAGUAUUUCAGAUGCUAAGGCAAGAGUAAGCUUGGUGAGGGUGGUACUAGAGUGCUAAGAAGUGAGAUCCGGCCAGGUGCGGUGACUCACGCCUGUAAUCCCAGCACUUUGGGAGGCUGAGACAGGCAGAUCAUGAGGUCAGGAGAUCGAGACCAUCUGGCUAACACGGUGAAACCCCGUCUCUACUAAAAACACACACAAAAAAAAUUAGCUGGGCGUGGUGGUGGGCGCCUGUAGUCCCAGCUACUGGGGGGCGCUGAGGCAGGAGAAUGGCGUGAACCCGGGAGGCGGAGCUUGCAGUGAGCCGAGAUUGCGCCACUGCACUCCAGCCUGGGCGACAGAGCGAGACUCUUGUCUCAAAAAAAAAAAAAAAAAAAAAAAAAGAAUUGAGAUCCAAGAGAUAGAGAGGGAUUUGGUCUCAUAGAGCUAUGGGAAUUCAGGUGAGGAUUUGAGAUAGAAGGGAGACAUCUGGAUUAUGGGGAGGCAAGAAGAUCCUCAGGAGACCUUUUGGGGUAGUCUAAGUGAAAGAUGAUGAGGGCCAGGGAAGUGAAGACAGAGAUAAAUAGAUUUAAGACACAGCGGGGCCGGAUUUGAUAAAGUUGACAGGAAUCUUCAAUUAUUAAAUGUAGGAGGUAAGUUAAGAAAGGGAUAUAAUACUUCUCAGGUUUUGGUUUGAGUAACUGUGGGGAUAGUAGUGAAAUUGACAGAAAUGGGGAAGAACAUAAGAACAUGUUUUUGGGAGCUGCAAAUCAAGAAUUCUGUUUUGCACAUGUUAAGUGUGAGAUGUUCAUUGUACAUCUAUAUGAGUGUGUCAGAUAAACAGUCGGGUAAAGGGCCAGAGUUCAGGAAAGGAGCAGGCAUGGAGAUGAAUUUGGAAGUCCUAGUGAUAUAGAUGGUAAUUAUAGCCACAGUACUGGAUGCUGAAUGAAAUAGAUAAGAGGGAUUCCAGGACAGACCUGUGGGUCAGCCCAUUUGUCUGGGCCUUCUGUUAUUCUGGGUUACCUCUAAUCACUAGCUAAAUUUCUUGACAUUAUUUCUUUUGGAUCUUUAUGCGUAUAUUUACCUUUCACCUGAUUAAAAAACCUGCAGAAGCUUUGCGUGGCACGUCAACAUCUCCUGUAAUUUCAGGGCUCUUUAUAACCUGGCCUUCCAUAAUCUAGCCCUUUUCCAUCUUAGCCGAUCAUCCUGACAUCCUCUGUGGAUACACUUCCUUGUAUUUGAGGCUGUUAUAUGUCUUUCAUCUUUUUCUGUUGUCUUAGAGUUGAAUUUAGAUUCCAUUUUCCUCAUGAAACAUUUGACUUCUUCAGUCCAAACAGACCACUCACAUCUCUAAACUAUUACUGUAGUUACAGUCUCACAUUUAAAUACUUAUUAUUUUUUAUUUUCACAGAUUAUAAUAAACAUGCUUUCUUUUCAGUCCAAAAGAAAAGUUAUUUGAAUAAAAUAUACAUGUGGCUUACAAUCAUACAUAGAA